AGCUGGUUGGUGAGGUAACGGCCCACCAAGGCGACGAUCAGUAGCCGGCCUGAGAGGGUGAACGGCCACAUUGGGACUGAGACACGGCCCAAACUCCUACGGGAGGCAGCAGUGGGGAAUAUUGCACAAUGGGGGAAACCCUGAUGCAGCAACGCCGCGUGAGUGAAGAAGUAUUUCGGUAUGUAAAGCUCUAUCAGCAGGAAAGAAAAUGACGGUACCUGACUAAGAAGCCCCGGCUAACUACGUGCCAGCAGCCGCGGUAAUACGUAGGGGGCAAGCGUUAUCCGGAUUUACUGGGUGUAAAGGGAGCGUAGACGGUUUUGCAAGUCUGAAGUGAAAGCCCGGGGCUUAACCCCGGGACUGCUUUGGAAACUGUAGAACUAGAGUGCAGGAGAGGUAAGUGGAAUUCCUAGUGUAGCGGUGAAAUGCGUAGAUAUUAGGAGGAACACCAGUGGCGAAGGCGGCUUACUGGACUGUAACUGACGUUGGGGCUCGAAAGCGUGGGGAGCAAACAGGAUUAGAUACCCCGGUAGUCCACGCCGUAAACGAUGAUUACUAGGUGUUGGUGGGUACGACCCAUCGGUGCCGCAGCAAACGCAAUAGUAAUCCACCUGGGGAGUACGUUCGCAAGAAUGAAACUCAAAGGAAUUGACGGGGACCCGCACAAGCGGUGGAGCAUGUGGUUUAAUUCGAAGCAACGCGAAGAACCAUACCUGGUCUUGACAUCCCUAUGAAUAACGGGCAAUGCCGUUAGUACUUCGGUACAUAGGAGACAGGUGGUGCAUGGUUGUCGUCAGCUCGUGUCGUGAGAUGUUGGGUUAAGUCCCGCAACGAGCGCAACCCUUAUCUUUAGUAGCCAGCAGUAAGAUGGGCACUCUAGAGAGACUGCCGGGGAUAACCCGGAGGAAGGUGGGGAUGACGUCAAAUCAUCAUGCCCCUUAUGACCAGGGCUACACACGUGCUACAAUGGCGUAAACAAAGAGAAGCGAAGUCGUGAGGCAGAGCGAAUCUCAAAAAUAACGUCUCAGUUCGGAUUGUAGUCUGCAACUCGACUACAUGAAGCUGGAAUCGCUAGUAAUCGCAGAUCAGAAUGCUGCGGUGAAUACGUUCCCGGGUCUUGUACACACCGCCCGUCACACCAUGGGAGUCGGAAAUGCCCGAAGUCGGUGACCUAACCGCAAGGAAGGAGACGCCGAAGGCAGGUCUGAUAACUGGGGUGAAGUCGAACAAGGUAGCCGUAUCGGAGGUGCGGCUG
rnacentral:rRNA from 1 species